rnacentral:misc_RNA from 1 species
GAUGAAGAACGUAGCGAAAUGCGAUACGUAAUGUAAAUUGCAGAAUUCAGUGAAUCAUCGAACCUUUGAACGCAUAUUGCGCUCUCUGGUAUUCCGGAGAGCAUGCUUGUUUGAGUAUCAGUAAACACCUCAACUUCCAUAUCUUUUUUGAAAUGGGAGUUGGACUUGAGUGAUCCCAACGCUUUUCCUCACCGAAAAGUGGCGGGUUACUUGAAAUGCAGGUGCAGCUGGACUUUUCUCUGAGCUAUAAGCAUAUCUAUUUAGUCUGCCUAAAAAACAGAUUAUUACCUUUGCUGCAGCUAACAUAAAGGAGAUUAGUUCUUGUGCUGACUGAUGCAGGAUUCACAAAGACAGGCUUCGGCCGACUUUGUAAACUCGAUCUCAAAUCAAGUAAGACUACCCGCUGAACUUAAGCAUAUCAAUAAGCGGAGGA